rnacentral:ncRNA from 1 species
AAAGAUGCUUAGGGGUGCUUACAAUGGAAGAGUUGUGGCUGAGAUCAGACCCUCACAAGUUGACCUGUAUGGGUAAUGCCAUUGCAGGAAAAGCACGUAGAUCUAUU